AGGGUUCGAUUCUGGCUCAGGAUGAACGCUGGCGGCGUGCUUAACACAUGCAAGUCGAACGGGAUCCAUCAGGCUUUGCUUGGUGGUGAGAGUGGCGAACGGGUGAGUAAUGCGUGACCGACCUGCCCCAUGCUCCGGAAUAGCUCCUGGAAACGGGUGGUAAUGCCGGAUGUUCCACAUGAUCGCAUGUGAUUGUGGGAAAGAUUCUAUCGGCGUGGGAUGGGGUCGCGUCCUAUCAGCUUGUUGGUGAGGUAACGGCUCACCAAGGCUUCGACGGGUAGCCGGCCUGAGAGGGCGACCGGCCACAUUGGGACUGAGAUACGGCCCAGACUCCUACGGGAGGCAGCAGUGGGGAAUAUUGCACAAUGGGCGCAAGCCUGAUGCAGCGACGCCGCGUGCGGGAUGACGGCCUUCGGGUUGUAAACCGCUUUUGACUGGGAGCAAGCCCUUCGGGGUGAGUGUACCUUUCGAAUAAGCACCGGCUAACUACGUGCCAGCAGCCGCGGUAAUACGUAGGGUGCAAGCGUUAUCCGGAAUUAUUGGGCGUAAAGGGCUCGUAGGCGGUUCGUCGCGUCCGGUGUGAAAGUCCAUCGCUUAACGGUGGAUCCGCGCCGGGUACGGGCGGGCUUGAGUGCGGUAGGGGAGACUGGAAUUCCCGGUGUAACGGUGGAAUGUGUAGAUAUCGGGAAGAACACCAAUGGCGAAGGCAGGUCUCUGGGCCGUCACUGACGCUGAGGAGCGAAAGCGUGGGGAGCGAACAGGAUUAGAUACCCUGGUAGUCCACGCCGUAAACGGUGGAUGCUGGAUGUGGGGACCAUUCCACGGUCUCCGUGUCGGAGCCAACGCGUUAAGCAUCCCGCCUGGGGAGUACGGCCGCAAGGCUAAAACUCAAAGAAAUUGACGGGGGCCCGCACAAGCGGCGGAGCAUGCGGAUUAAUUCGAUGCAACGCGAAGAACCUUACCUGGGCUUGACAUGUUCCCGACAGCCCCAGAGAUGGGGCCUCCCUUCGGGGCGGGUUCACAGGUGGUGCAUGGUCGUCGUCAGCUCGUGUCGUGAGAUGUUGGGUUAAGUCCCGCAACGAGCGCAACCCU
rnacentral:rRNA from 1 species